AGUGAACGCUGGCGGUAGGCCUAACACAUGCAAGUCGAACGGCAGCACAGUAAGAGCUUGCUCUUACGGGUGGCGAGUGGCGGACGGGUGAGGAAUACAUCGGAAUCUACUUUUUCGUGGGGGCUAACGUAGGAAAACUUACGCUAAUACCGCAUACAACCUCCGGGUGAAAGCAGGCAUCUUCGGACCUGGCUGGUUUAAAUAAUCGCUGAUCGGAUCAGCUAGUUGGCGGGGUAAAGGCCCACCAAGCCGACAAUCCGUAGCUGGUCUGAGGGGAUGAUCAGGCACACUGGAACAGAGACACGGUACAGACUCCUACAGGAGGCAGCAGUGGGGACUAUUGGACAAUGGGCGAAAGCCUGAUCCAGCCAUACCGCGUAGGUGAAGAAGGACUUCGGGUUGUAAAACCCUGUUGUUGGGAAAGAAAAGCAGCAGGUUAAUACCCCGCUGUACUGACGGUACCCAAAGAAUAAGCACCGGCUAACUUCGUG
rnacentral:rRNA from 1 species